ensembl:lncRNA
CCUAAGGAUGCUUAGACGAGACAUCUCCAGAUAGCCUUGUGAUAUGGGGGCGUCGUGAUCUGUUCUCAGAGAUGAGAGAUGCGAAAUGGGGCAUGGCGGCCAGGAGGAGCAACCGAAGGAGCGGUGGCUGAGCAGGCACAGGAGGGCCUAGAGGAGCUAUCCCAUGCUGAAGGUCAGGAACGGUGGCGGUAAGGAGAUACCCCUCGUCCAAGGUAAGGAGCAGUGGCUGUGCUUUGCUGGAGCAGCCGUGAAGAGAUACCCCACGCCCAAGGUAAGAGAAACCCAAGUAAGAUGGUAGGUGUUGCAAGAGGGCAUCAGAGGGCAGACACACUGAAACCAUACUCACAGAAAACUAGUCAAUUUAAUCACACUGGGACCACAGCCUUGUCUAACUCAAUGAAUGAGUUAGAUUUUGUCAAAUGUUUUUUCUGCAAUUCUUGAUAUGAUCAUGUGUGUGUGUUCAAAGAAUACUUCGCUGAGAGAUUGAAAAGUCAAGCAAAACCUUUUCCCCUUGUUCUUGUAGAGGCAGUGAUGCCACAAGUAGGAAUUUUAGGUGGCUUUGGUCUUUUCCCCCUUUAGUAUCUUCCUACCAAGUUUCCCCAAAUAAAUGAAAUAUUUGUGCUCUUGUAAACUCAGCUUCGGAGAAGGCAAUGGCACCCCACUCCAGUACUCUUGCCUGGAAAGUCCCAUGGAUGGAGGACUCCUAAAUCACUAAUCAUUAUUCAUCGCUUUGCUAAAACCCCAUUACCAAGAAUUUUUGAAGCUAAUUGUGAUUAAUAUGAAUGAUAAAUUUUUCAUAAACAUUUCUAAAAUUUGGUUUUCCCCUAUAUUAUAGUUGUAAAUGUAAGGGUUUGUGAAAUUUAUGGGCGAUGGGGAUGUUUUCUUCCUAGAGAUAUUGGGAGAUUUCAUGGGAUUGGCAAACCUCUAGCUGAGUCUUCAGGAAUUGGUAUGAGUUUGGAGACUAGGGGAUUUGAUAAGGGAGAAUUGCAUAGAUAAAGCCAUGGAGAUAAGAAAUGCCAGCCAUAUUUGGGAGCAUCCAGUUAUUAAGAACUUGGAAUGUUACCAGGAAGACAGUAGAAAGAUGAACUGAACAACUGAGUUACGGCCAAGUUACGGUGAACACUAAAUGUCAAACCGAGAAAUCAAAUUUAGUCUGCAGGGCAUGUGGAUACGUUGAAAUAUUUUCCGUACAGUGAUGACAUGAUCAGGACUGUGCUUUUAGAAGAUUAAUUUUGCAGUACUUUGUAGCAUGAAAGAUAGAGACAAAAUACAGGCGGUAGAGACGUCUCUGUCACAUCUGGUAAUAUAUCUUUGAAAUUCCUUUUUCCUUUAAAUGUCACACAGCAACUCUGAGAACUACACUUGAGACUGUGAUUCCGCUGUCAGCAGUGACAUUCACUUCUCAUUUUCUCUUCUGAUGAAUGACGGGAGCCAGCGUCAGCCGACAAUGAGAAGAAUCACUAAAUACAGUCAACAUGGAAUUCAGUUAAUGAAGAGGGCAAUCGCUUCUGUUCUGUAUAUGAUCAUAAUAUCUUCUGGCUAUAGGUUACCUGUAAUAAGAAAUAGUAGAAAGAGAAGAAACGGAAGAAGGGUGGGAGAAAAGAAAGUGAGGAGAGGAGGAGAGAAAAGCAGAGAGGAUACGACAGGGGAAGAUAAGUUUCUGUCAGUCUCUGUGAAGAGUAGAGUACCUCUGCUGACCUGUGAUGGAAAAGUAGCAGGUAUACAGGAGGCGGUCCUAAGAUGGUGGAGGAAUAGGAUGGGAAGACCACUUUCUCCCUCACAAAUUCCUCAAAAGAACAUUUCAACGCUGAGCAAACUCCACAAAACAACUUCUGAAUGCUGGCAGAGGACAUCAGGCAACCAGAAAAGCAGACCAUUGUCUUCAAAAACAGGGGUCUGUAUGUAGAAGCGGAGCACAGAGUUGUUGUUUUCCUUGCUGCCUCUUGCCAUUGUUCUAUGUCGACCCCAUCUCUUACAUUUGUGAAGAUCUACAGCUGUCCCUAUCCCGUGCCAGUGUGCCUUCUUUCAUAGUUGUGAACUCUGACUCCUCAAGCAUGUACCACAUAAUAAAAGAAGGAAGGCUUACCCGUGUGUGUUGUUGUUAGUCGCUCAGUCAGGUACCCUUUGAGACCCUAUGGAUGGUGGCGUGCCAGCCUCCUCUGUCCGUGGAAUUCUCUAGGCAAGAACACUGGAGUGGGUAGCCGUUCCCUUCUCCAGGGGAUCUUCCUGACCUUGAGCCAUUAGGGAAGCCCCUGCUUACCUGUGUAAAUGACCACUUUUGGUACAUCUAGAAAGAGUAUUUCUAGCAUAAACUUUUCUAAAAUAACUCUUCACCGUGUCUUGAUUCUUGUGACUUCUCGUGGAGAAAGGCAUUCAUGGCUGCCUUGCAACCGUGUAACCAGAAGACAGUGAGUGUUCAGAGGUUCAUUUCUGUUUUGUCUAUUUGCAUAACAUGUACUAUCCAAAUAGUAUCCUGCUUUGAUAGUGAAAAAAAAAUCAAUUAUCUUUAGCACAUGGCAGGUUAUCCUAAAGGAA